AUUGAAUAAAUGGCGGCACUGCAUCUGGAUGGCGGGUUUAUUCUUGGCUCUUUUCUGGCGAGUAGGCGUUCACCAUUUGUCUGCGUUUGUUUAAUACCAUGUUAAAAAGAAAUUAGAAUAGAAAUUUGGAAUGUGCCCAGCAUUCCGUCCACUACAGGUCACUGAUAGCAUUCGCUCUGGUGGCGCCUGUGCAGAUCUAGAGGACGCAACGCCAUAGCGCAUGCGUAAUUGGUGAUCUGUAAGAAACUCCUAAAUUCUGAAUGGCAACCCUCGCAUCUUUCGGACCGUUAACAGUGUUCUCUCUUAACCAGACUUCUUCCCCUGCCUGGGAUUAAAAUCGCGUUUAAUGUCUUUUUUGUUAUAUUUAGGGUCAUUAAGUGACACCGCAUACAAAAUGAAAUACCCAAUGAGAUGAAAACUGUCACUAUCAGCCAUCAAAGCUAAGAGGGCGGGCUCAACAUCUAUGCGUGCUUUGUGGUUCUCCAUGGAUAUUGUGGAUGUAUCUCCCACGAGGCAGGGCCACCCAUCCAUCAUCCCCAUCCC